GUAGGCUAUUUCAACAUGGGAAACUGAAAUCGGGCAUAUCCCUGCGGAAGAAGCUGUCUCUUAGCGAAGAAUAAAACUGUGGACUGACCCCCACCCAUUUGCGAAGAAAGUACUGGGUCUUCAGCUUUCAUUGUUCAGCCGGUGGUCUUUGUGGACAACACCAGGGGCCCCUCCUGCUGAAGACUGUCUGGACUUCCUGAUUUUCACUCCUGUAUAAACCCCCUCCCCCAUUACUACCUUUGUCUCCUUGGGGAAAAAAAAUGUUUUUCACUUAAGCAAAAUAAUAACUACCCAGUAUUUGUUUCUGGAGUGAAAUUGUAAACUUCAUUGUACAUUCUUCCUGGCUUUGAUGCUUAUCGUGAAGAGUUCAGUGAAAAUAAAUUGUU
rnacentral:lncRNA from 1 species